rfam:Jaapia argillacea MTCL 33604 unplaced genomic scaffold JAAARscaffold_5, whole genome shotgun sequence.
GUCACUAUGGCCGAGUGGUUAAGGCGACAGAUUCGAAUUUCUACUUAUCUGUUUCCCUCUGGGAGCGCAGGUUCAAAUCCUGCUGGUGACG